AACGCACCUUGCGCUCCUUGGUAUUCCGAGGAGCAUGCCUGUUUGAGUGUCAUUAAAUUCUCAAUCUUACCAGCUUUUGUUGGAAAAGACUUGGAUGUGGGGGGGAAAAUUUUUGAAGGUUUCUCGCGGAACCUUCUCCCCUGAAAUGCAUUAGCUGGACGCUCGCGCGGACAGUCUAUUGGUGUGAUAAUUAUCUACGCCAUUAGCUGACUGCCAUUAGUAGCACCGCUUCUAACUGUCUUUGGACAAUAUAUGACAAUUUGACCUCAAAUCAGGUAGGACUACCCGCUGAACUUAA
rnacentral:misc_RNA from 1 species